UCCAGGCCCUACGGGAGGCAGCAGUGGGGAAUUUUCCGCAAUGGGCGAAAGCCUGACGGAGCAACGCCGCGUGAGGGAUGAAGGCCUCUGGGCUGUAAACCUCUUUUAUCAAGGAAGAAGAUCUGACGGUACUUGAUGAAUAAGCCACGGCUAAUUCCGUGCCAGCAGCCGCGGUAAUACGGGAGUGGCAAGCGUUAUCCGGAAUUAUUGGGCGUAAAGCGUCCGCAGGCGGCCCUUCAAGUCUGCUGUUAAAAAGUGGAGCUUAACUCCAUCAUGGCAGUGGAAACUGUUGGGCUUGAGUGUGGUAGGGGCAGAGGGAAUUCCCGGUGUAGCGGUGAAAUGCGUAGAUAUCGGGAAGAACACCAGUGGCGAAGGCGCUCUGCUGGGCCAUCACUGACGCUCAUGGACGAAAGCCAGGGGAGCGAAAGGGAUUAGAUACCCCUGUAGUCCUGGCCGUAAACGAUGAACACUAGGUGUCGGGGGAAUCGACCCCCUCGGUGUCGUAGCCAACGCGUUAAGUGUUCCGCCUGGGGAGUACGCACGCAAGUGUGAAACUCAAAGGAAUUGACGGGGGCCCGCACAAGCGGUGGAGUAUGUGGUUUAAUUCGAUGCAACGCGAAGAACCUUACCAGGGUUUGACAUCCUGCGAAUUUCUGGGAAACCAGAAAGUGCCUUCGGGAACGCAGUGACAGGUGGUGCAUGGCUGUCGUCAGCUCGUGUCGUGAGAUGUUGGGUUAAGUCCCGCAACGAGCGCAACCCACGUCUUUAGUUGCCAGCAUUUAGUUGGGCACUCUAGAGAGACCGCCGGUGAUAAACCGGAGGAAGGUGUGGAUGACGUCAAGUCAUCAUGCCCCUUACAUCCUGGGCUACACACGUACUACAAUGCUACGGACAAAGGGCAGCAAACUCGCGAGAGCUAGCAAAUCCCAUAAACCGUGGCUCAGUUCAGAUCGUAGGCUGCAACUCGCCUACGUGAAGGAGGAAUCGCUAGUAAUCGCAGGUCAGCAUACUGCGGUGAAUACGUUCCCGGGCCUUGUACACACCGCCCGU
rnacentral:rRNA from 1 species